UACAGAGGUCUCAAGCGUUGUUCGGAUUCAUCGGGCGUAAAGGGUGCGUAGGCGGCGCGGUAAGUCGGGUGUGAAAUCUCGGGGCUUAACUCCGAAACUGCAUUCGAUACUGCCGUGCUUGAGGACUGGAGAGGAGACUGGAAUUUACGGUGUAGCGGUGAAAUGCGUAGAUAUCGUAAGGAAGACCAGUGGCGAAGGCGGGUCUCUGGGCCGUAACUGACGCUGAGGAGCGAAAGCGUGGGGAGCGAACAGG
rnacentral:rRNA from 1 species